rnacentral:rRNA from 1 species
UGGGGAAUAUUGCACAAUGGGCGCAAGCCUGAUGCAGCCAUGCCGCGUGUGUGAAGAAGGCCUUCGGGUUGUAAAGCACUUUCAGCGAGGAGGAAGGUGGUGAGCUUAAUACGCUCAUCAAUUGACGUUACUCGCAGAAGAAGCACCGGCUAACUCCGUGCCAGCAGCCGCGGUAAUACGGAGGGUGCAAGCGUUAAUCGGAAUUACUGGGCGUAAAGCGCACGCAGGCGGUUUGUUAAGUCAGAUGUGAAAUCCCCGGGCUCAACCUGGGAACUGCAUUUGAAACUGGCAAGCUAGAGUCUCGUAGAGGGGGGUAGAAUUCCAGGUGUAGCGGUGAAAUGCGUAGAGAUCUGGAGGAAUACCGGUGGCGAAGGCGGCCCCCUGGACGAAGACUGACGCUCAGGUGCGAAAAGCGUGGGGAGCAAAACAGGAUUAGAUACCCUGGUAGUCCACGCUGUAAAACGAUGUCGAUUUUGGAGGUUGUGCCCUUGAGGCGUGGCUUCCGGAGCUAACGCGUUAAAUCGACCGCCUGGGGAGUACGGCCGCAAGGUU